UACGUAGGGUGCAAGCGUUAUCCGGAAUUAUUGGGCGUAAAGAGCUCGUAGGCGGUUUGUCGCGUCUGCUGUGAAAACCUAAGGCUCAACCUUGGGCUUGCAGUGGGUACGGGCAGACUAGAGUGCGGUAGGGGUGACUGGAAUUCCUGGUGUAGCGGUGGAAUGCGCAGAUAUCAGGAAGAACACCGAUGGCGAAGGCAGUUCUCUGGGCCGUAACUGACGCUGAGGAGCGAAAGCGUGGGGAGCGAACAGG
rnacentral:rRNA from 1 species